CAGUCUAUGAGAUCCCCCAGGACUUGGGAAUAAGGACCACCUGCCUCCUCUCUCUGUAGCUCUGGCUGCAACUGGCGAUCUAGGCCGGCUGCCCAGCAUCCCUGUAGGGCCGGUAGAGAGACCUCGGUCCCAUCUCCACCUGCCUGUUGGGGGUCCUCCCAGGACCAGUUUACGAGGUCUGCCACCUCGGGUACCUCUGGUUGCUGCUGGGGAAGGAGACCGUUUGUCUCUUCCCUCUGCACGGUGCACUGCCGCUGGGGAGGGAGACCGGUUGUCCCCAGUCUCCACAAUCUGAACUCACAUUCCCGUGCUGCUUGGUUCUCCUCGUCCAACUCUUGCAUGAUACGGACGAUCACCUCUUCCGAAAGGUCUGGGUCAUACUCGACUAACCGCCUCUUUACCUCCGUGAUGUAAGUGUCGCCCUCAUAGCAAUAGGUCAUGUUUGCUUGGCCCCACUCUGGGCCACUAGCGCUCCGACCCUUGCCUUGUAUUCCGCUGUAGACAGGGGUGCUGCACAAGUGCUAGCGUCGCCCCCACACUUGUAGCUCCGUAACGCUACCGGUGUCACUGGGCUGCUUCUCCUCACACUAGGACGCCAUCCCACCGCUUGCCACCAAAUGUGAC